CUGACAAGAUGACUGACAUGGAAGUGCAUAUGAAGCAAGGGAAUUCAGAGUUGGUGCCACCUAGAGAAAAUAUUUCAGCACAGAUUCUACCAAAAAUAUCUCAGGUGAAGAGAAGCUAUGCAACUUAAUGGGAGAAGAGAGAAAGUUGAAUCCAAGACACUGCUACUGCUUCAACAAAAGCUGAACCACAGACCUUACUACUAUUAAAUAACUCCUAAGUUAACAGGCAGAGGUAAGAUAGAAACAACUGGAGGAACAAUAAACACUCUUAUCUACCACACUUU